rnacentral:sRNA from 1 species
UUUUAGCCCUGAUUGUAGUGGAAAUCCUUUUUUUAUUUUUUCUAAAAAAGCACUUCGACUGCGCUCAGUGUGACAAAAAAAUAAAAAAAGAUUGCAACGAAAAGCAGGAAUAAGG